rnacentral:tRNA from 1 species
UGGGAUGUAGCUCAGUGGCAGAAUGCUUACUUAUCAUAGGAAUGUCCUGGGUUCAACCCCAGAAUCACAA